rnacentral:rRNA from 1 species
CAAUAGCGUAUAUUAAAGUUGUUGCAGUUAAAAAGCUCGUAGUUGGAUUUCUGAUCGAGACAUCAGGUCGGGUCCGAGAGGAUCAUGUACUUUGAUUCUGUUUUGAUCAUCCUUGGGGAGAGCAUUUCUGGCAUUCAGUUGUCGGGAUUGGGAUCCUCAUCGUUUACUGUGAAAAAAUUAGAGUGUUCAAAGCAGGCCUCGGCCUCUGAAUACAUUAGCAUGGAAUAAUAAGAUAGGACUUUGGUGGUCUAUUUUGUUGGUUUGCACGCCAAAGUAAUGAUUAAUAGGGAUAGUUGGGGGUAUUCGUAUUCAAUUGUCAGAGGUGAAAUUCUUGGAUUUAUGGAAGACGAACUACUGCGAAAGCAUUUACCAAGGAUGUUUUCAUUAA